rnacentral:rRNA from 1 species
GUGGGGAAUAUUGGACAAUGGGCGAAAGCCUGAUCCAGCCAUGCCGCGUGUGUGAAGAAGGUCUUCGGAUUGUAAAGCACUUUAAGUUGGGAGGAAGGGCAGUAAGUUAAUACCUUGCUGUUUUGACGUUACCGACAGAAUAAGCACCGGCUAACUUCGUGCCAGCAGCCGCGGUAAUACGAAGGGUGCGAGCGUUAAUCGGAAUUACUGGGCGUAAAGCGCGCGUAGGUGGUUUUGUAAGUUGGAGGUGAAAUCCCCGGGCUCAACCUGGGAACUGCCUCCAAAACUGCAUGACUAGAGUACGGUAGAGGGUAGUGGAAUUUCCUGUGUAGCGGUGAAAUGCGUAGAUAUAGGAAGGAACACCAGUGGCGAAGGCGACUACCUGGACUGAUACUGACACUGAGGUGCGAAAGCGUGGGGAGCAAACAGGAUUAGAAACCCGAGUAGUCC